AGCCCAAGCGGGUUAUGACGGUGGGUGAGCUUAUGAGGAUCCAAAUGGGGAUCUCUGACGCUAUGGACUCUAGAGUCAGGAGAGCUCUGCUUAGGAUUUUUGCUUCUCAGGUAGGAAGGCAAAUUGAGUCAAUGGUAGUCCCACUGGAGCAGCUCAAGUCCUCUGAUUUUACCGAUCAACAAGAAUACGAUACCUGCAAAAUGAAAUAAAAGAGCUUUUCUAGUAAUGAACUUCACUUUUGGACAGACACACACGCACGCACAAACAAUUUAUAACUGCAUUCAUC